rnacentral:rRNA from 1 species
UACGUAGGGUGCGAGCGUUAAUCGGAAUUACUGGGCGUAAAGUGUGCGCAGGCGGCUGAGCAAGUCGAGUGUGAAAGCCCCGGGCUUAACUUGGGAAUUGCGCUCGAAACUACUUGGCUUGAGUGUGGCAGAGGAAGGUGGAAUUCCACGUGUAGCGGUGAAAUGCGCAGAUAUCAGGAGGAACACCGGUGGCGAAGGCGGUUCUCUGGGCCUGUACUGACGCUGAGGAGCGAAAGCGUGGGGAGCGAACAGG